GAUGGGAUGGCUGGUCCCAGCAGCUGAUGGAAGCCUCCAGAGUGAGGGAGUUCUAUUUGGAACAGGGAUGGGUCUGACCACGUUCUUAGCCACGUUAAGGAUAGGAGAUUGCUUCUAUGGACUUCUCAAAGGUGGGUCAGGCUGUCAGGGGAGAACCCAGAGGCUGUAUGUGGCCAUGGCUACAGGAUCGGCGGGGCAUGAGCUGGAGAAGCAGCAGCCACGCCAUGCGGCAUGUGGGAUCUCAGUUCCCCGACCAGGGAUGGAACCCGCACCUCCUGCAGUGGAAUUGUGGAGUCUUAACUACUGGACUGCCAGGGAAGUCCCUGCAUUUUUAAUAAGCAUCUUAGAUAGAGCUUAAUGGGGAGUAAAGUUUGGACGUAUCAUCUAUGAAAAGAAUCUCAAGAUCACUUGCCUCUCUGACGUAUGGAAUUUCUUCAUUUUUGUACAUUCUUCAGCUUUUGGUUUUGAUUAUGUCCUUGUAGUCUCUUGGGAUAGGAAUGCCUCUCCUGGAUUAUUUUCUCCACUGUGUCUAGGAAGUCUGCAUCUUUCCGAAUGAGUUGUGCUGUCAAAGAGUGUCCCUAGAAAUCUUUCAUGUUCUAUCUAAGAGGAAGAUGACUUGCAUUUAUAGCACACAGUAUAGGCAGUGACCUUGGGCAAGAAGAAAAGCAAUGAUAUUAAUACCAUAUAUUUGAAUAAUGUUCUACAGUUCACAGUUAAGUUGAAUUAAAUUGCAUAGUUAAAUUCAUAAAUUAUAUGAUUACAUCAAUUCUCACAACUUGCUGUGAGGAUUGGUAAUAUUCCUAUUUUACAGAUUAAGAAAUUGAGGUUCAAAGAAGACAAGGCCUUACCAUAGGUCAGUGGACUUAUAUAUGGAAGGAUGGGUCCUGGAGUCAGGGUCUUCCAACAACUGGCCUGCUGAUGCUGACACAUGCCACCCAACGGCCUCCUGAAUGGCUUUCGCGCACAUACCUUGUUCAAGUAUGUGGAGGAGACCAAACUGAAAAGAAAGCAUCAUAGGUUUUAGACUGAAACAAAUCAGGGCUAACCAGAAGAAACCUUUUAGGCCAAAGGCCACUUGAGGUGGCCCUGGUUCCUCCAUGUUUCACUCACUGGCUCCUUGUAUCUGCUGGACCUGCAUUUCCAUUCACCAUGUCUCAGGAGGAAAACAAUUCUAGUGACCUCGCUGUAGGGAGAUGGGAGCCUCAGGCAUCUUAUCAAACUGCCAGGCUGUUCUACAUAAGCAGGGCUCUUGGCUCUGGUGUAGGAAAGCAAUGCCAUUGUCGGCUAACACUCAAGCAUCUUGGCGAACUUGCUAAGUGUGUGGGGAGCCCUAACCACUGUUGUUGGCGGGAAGACCAAGCUAUCACUUGUACCUCACUUUCAGAAUUCGGCCCUGUUUAAAUUAAGCUCUGCAGGUGGAGUCCUGGAUUGUGAGAAGGAUACAAAGCCUGAGGACACGUUGGCAUUUAUUCCUCAUGCUGCUUCUGAGGACACACAAGAGGGUGUUCCGGCCAAAUUAGCCAGUUAUUGGUUCCUCGAGUAACUUUGGUUUUGGACACCUGACUUGACUCUGUGAGCGAGCAGGCAGCUGUUUUCCCUGAGUGUGUUUGCCUCUUGGCUUUCCUGUCACUACAUGAACGUUCAGCCCACGGAUUUCUGUUAUCUAAUCAGGUGCAUCGGUCCGCGGUGGAGAUGAGAGGGGAGGAAUACCCCUCUGACUCAGAUUUUGCACAAACAAAACUCAGCCUUGUUAACAAAGGCAGGGAGGAGUGCCCACGGCUGCUCAGAUCAGAUCUUCCCCGACAAUCUGCGGGGCAGUGCAGAUGGGUGGGUUUUUAUGGCAAGAUAAGCAACUGGAGGGCUCCACUUUGGUAUGCUAAAUAAAAUUAAAAUGUCAAUAUUUACACAUGAC